UAGGGAAUCUUCCACAAUGGGCGCAAGCCUGAUGGAGCAACACCGCGUGAGUGAAGAAGGGUUUCGGCUCGUAAAGCUCUGUUGUUAAAGAAGAACACGUAUGAGAGUAACUGUUCAUACGUUGACGGUAUUUAACCAGAAAGUCACGGCUAACUACGUGCCAAC
rnacentral:rRNA from 1 species